GAUGAACGCUAGCUACAGGCUUAACACAUGCAAGUCGCGGGGCAGCAUGGGGGUUGCUUGCAACCCCUGAUGGCGACCGGCGCACGGGUGAGUAACGCGUAUCCAACCUGCCCUUCACCACGGGAUAACCCGGCGAAAGUCGGACUAAUACCGUAUGUUGUCCAUUGACGGCAUCCGAUUCGUACGAAAGGCAUGGCGGCGAAGGGAUGGGGAUGCGUCCGAUUAGCUUGACGGCGGAGUAACGGCCCACCGAGGCUACGUUCGGUAGGGGUUCUGAGAGGAAGGUCCCCUACACUGGAACCGAGACACGGUCCAGACUGCUACGGGAGGCAGCAGUGAGGAAGAUAGGGCAAUGGGCGUAAGCCUGAACCUGCCAAGUAGCGUGCAGGAUGACGGCCCUAUGGGUUGUAAACUGCUUUUAUGCGGGGAUAAAGUGGCCCACGUGUGGGCUUUUGCAGGUACCGCAUGAAUAAGGACCGGCUAAUUCCGUG
rnacentral:rRNA from 1 species